rnacentral:rRNA from 1 species
UACGUAGGGUGCAAGCGUUGUCCGGAAUUAUUGGGCGUAAAGAGCUCGUAGGCGGUCUGUCGCGUCGGAUGUGAAAAUCCAGGGCUCAACCCUGGACCUGCAUUCGAUACGGGCAGACUAGAGUUCGGCAGGGGAGACUGGAAUUCCUGGUGUAGCGGUGAAAUGCGCAGAUAUCAGGAGGAACACCGAUGGCGAAGGCAGGUCUCUGGGCAUUAACUGACGCUGAGGAGCGAAAGCAUGGGGAGCGAACAGG